rnacentral:rRNA from 1 species
UAGGGAAUCUUCGGCAAUGGACGAAAGUCUGACCGAGCAACGCCGCGUGAGUGAAGAAGGUUUUCGGAUCGUAAAACUCUGUUGUUAGAGAAGAACAAGGACGUUAGUAACUGAACGUCCCCUGACGGUAUCUAACCAGAAAGCCACGGCUAACUACGUGCCAGCAGCCGCGGUCAUACGUAGGUGGCAAGCGUCGUCCGGAUUUAUUGGGCGUAAAGCGAGCGCAGGCGGUUUCUUAAGUAUGAUGUGAACGCCCCCGGCUCAAGCGGGGAGGGUCAUUGGAAACUGGGAGACUUGAGUGCAGAAGAGGAGAGUGGAAUUCCAUGUGUAGCGGUGAGAUGCGUAGAUAUAUGGAGGAACACCAGUGGCGAAGGCGGCUCUCUGGUCUGUAUCUGACGCUGAGGCUCGAAAGCGUGGGGAGCAAACAGG